CUUAGGCGUGUGACUGCGUACCUUUUGUAUAAUGGGUCAGCGACUUAUAUUCUGUAGCAAGGUUAACCGAAUAGGGGAGCCGAAGGGAAACCGAGUCUUAACUGGGCGUUAAGUUGCAGGGUAUAGACCCGAAACCCGGUGAUCUAGCCAUGGGCAGGUUGAAGGUUGGGUAACACUAACUGGAGGACCGAACCGACUAAUGUUGAAAAAUUAGCGGAUGACUUGUGGCUGGGGGUGAAAGGCCAAUCAAACCGGGAGAUAGCUGGUUCUCCCCGAAAGCUAUUUAGGUAGCGCCUCGUGAAUUCAUCUCCGGGGGUAGAGCACUGUUUCGGCAAGGGGGUCAUCCCGACUUACCAACCCGAUGCAAACUGCGAAUACCGGAGAAUGUUAUCACGGGAGACACACGGCGGGUGCUAACGUCCGUCGUGAAGAGGGAAACAACCCAGACCGCCAGCUAAGGUCCCAAAGUCAUGGUUAAGUGGGAAACGAUGUGGGAAGGCCCAGACAGCCAGGAUGUUGGCUUAGAAGCAGCCAUCAUUUAAAGAAAGCGUAAUAGCUCACUGGUCGAGUCGGCCUGCGCGGAAGAUGUAACGGGGCUAAACCAUGCACCGAAGCUGCGGCAGCGACGCUGAUGCGUUGUUGGGUAGGGGAGCGUUCUGUAAGCCUGUGAAGGUGUGCUGUGAGGCAUGCUGGAGGUAUCAGAAGUGCGAAUGCUGACAUAAGUAACGAUAAAGCGGGUGAAAAGCCCGCUCGCCGGAAGACCAAGGGUUCCUGUCCAACGUUAAUCGGGGCAGGGUGAGUCGACCCCUAAGGCGAGGCCGAAAGGCGUAGUCGAUGGGAAACAGGUUAAUAUUCCUGUACUUGGUGUUACUGCGAAGGGGGGACGGAGAAGGCUAUGUUGGCCGGGCGACGGUUGUCCCGGUUUAAGCGUGUAGGCUGGUUUUCCAGGCAAAUCCGGAAAAUCAAGGCUGAGGCGUGAUGACGAGGCACUACGGUGCUGAAGCAACAAAUGCCCUGCUUCCAGGAAAAGCCUCUAAGCAUCAGGUAACAUCAAAUCGUACCCCAAACCGACACAGGUGGUCAGGUAGAGAAUACCAAGGCGCUUGAGAGAACUCGGGUGAAGGAACUAGGCAAAAUGGUGCCGUAACUUCGGGAGAAGGCACGCUGAUAUGUAGGUGAAGUCCCUCGCGGAUGGAGCUGAAAUCAGUCGAAGAUACCAGCUGGCUGCAACUGUUUAUUAAAAACACAGCACUGUGCAAACACGAAAGUGGACGUAUACGGUGUGACGCCUGCCCGGUGCCGGAAGGUUAAUUGAUGGGGUCAGCGCAAGCGAAGCUCUUGAUCGAAGCCCCGGUAAACGGCGGCCGUAACUAUAACGGUCCUAAGGUAGCGAAAUUCCUUGUCGGGUAAGUUCCGACCUGCACGAAUGGCGUAAUGAUGGCCAGGCUGUCUCCACCCGAGACUCAGUGAAAUUGAACUCGCUGUGAAGAUGCAGUGUACCCGCGGCAAGACGGAAAGACCCCGUGAACCUUUACUAUAGCUUGACACUGAACAUUGAGCCUUGAUGUGUAGGAUAGGUGGGAGGCUUUGAAGUGUGGACGCCAGUCUGCAUGGAGCCGGCCUUGAAAUACCACCCUUUAAUGUUUGAUGUUCUAACGUUGACCCGUGAUCCGGGUUGCGGACAGUGUCUGGUGGGUAGUUUGACUGGGGCGGUCUCCUCCUAAAGAGUAACGGAGGAGCACGAAGGUUGGCUAAUCCUGGUCGGACAUCAGGAGGUUAGUGCAAUGGCAUAAGCCAGCUUGACUGCGAGCGUGACGGCGCGAGCAGGUGCGAAAGCAGGUCAUAGUGAUCCGGUGGUUCUGAAUGGAAGGGCCAUCGCUCAACGGAUAAAAGGUACUCCGGGGAUAACAGGCUGAUACCGCCCAAGAGUUCAUAUCGACGGCGGUGUUUGGCACCUCGAUGUCGGCUCAUCACAUCCUGGGGCUGAAGUAGGUCCCAAGGGUAUGGCUGUUCGCCAUUUAAAGUGGUACGCGAGCUGGGUUUAGAACGUCGUGAGACAGUUCGGUCCCUAUCUGCCGUGGGCGCUGGAGAACUGAGGGGGGCUGCUCCUAGUACGAGAGGACCGGAGUGGACGCAUCACUGGUGUUCGGGUUGUCAUGCCAAUGGCACUGCCCGGUAGCUAAAUGCGGAAGAGAUAAGUGCUGAAAGCAUCUAAGCACGAAACUUGCCCCGAGAUGAGUUCUCCCUGACUCCUUGAGAGUCCUGAAGGAACGUUGAAGACGACGACGUUGAUAGGCCGGGUGUGUAAGCGCAGCGAUGCGUUGAGCUAACCGGUACUAAUGAACCGUGAGG
rnacentral:rRNA from 1 species